rnacentral:rRNA from 1 species
UCCCAGACUCCUACGGGAGGCAGCAGUGGGGAAUAUUGCACAAUGGGGGAAACCCUGAUGCAGCGACGCCGCGUGAGUGAAGAAGUAUUUCGGUAUGUAAAGCUCUAUCAGCAGGGAAGAAAAUGACGGUACCUGAUUAAGAAGCCCCGGCAAACUUCGUGCCAGCAGCCGCGGUAAUACGAAGGGUGCGAGCGUUGUUCGGAAUUACUGGGCGUAAAGGGAGUGUAGGCGGAUAUGUAAGAUAGCGGUGAAAUGCCGGGGCUCAACCCCGGAACUGCCAUUAUGACUAUGUAUCUAGAGUAAUGGAGAGGAUAGCGGAAUACCCAGUGUAGAGGUGAAAUUCGUAGAUAUUGGGUAGAACACCGGUGGCGAAGGCGGCUAUCUGGCCAUUUACUGACGCUGAGGCUCGAAAGCAUGGGGAUCAAACAGGAUUAGAUACCCCAGUACU